rnacentral:misc_RNA from 1 species
GAAAUGCGAUAAGUAAUGUGAAUUGCAGAAUUCAGUGAAUCAUCGAAUCUUUGAACGCAUCUUGCACUCCUUGGUAUUCUGAGGAGUAUGCCUGUUUGAGUGUCAUAUAAAUCUAUCAACUAUAAAGUUGGACUUGGAGGUAAUGCUGUCGUGGCUCCUCUUCAAUACAUAUAUAUACACACACCCAUCAGCAUUGGUAAUUGUUAUCUAUGCCGAUAUAUUGUAUUCCAAAUUUUGACCUCAAAUCAGGUAGGACUUACCCGCUGAACUUAA